UACAGAGGUGGCAAGCGUUGUUCGGAAUUACUGGGCGUAAAGCGUGCGCAGGCGGUUCGCUAAGACAGAUGUGAAAUCCCCGGGCUUAACCUGGGAACUGCAUUUGUGACUGGCGGCUAGAGUAUGGCAGAGGGGGUAGAAUCCACGUGUAGCAGUGAAAUGCGUAGAGAUGUGGAGGAAUACCGAGUGGCGAAGGCAGCCCCUGGGCCAAUACGUGACGCUGAGACGCGAAAGCG
rnacentral:rRNA from 1 species